rnacentral:lncRNA from 1 species
CCAGAACUUGUCCUCAGUGAGGGUUAUCUUGCCGUGUUUCUCAAGGUUUUGUAAGGAUUUGAAUUGGGUGUGGCUUCCCACCACCACGUAUUCCUUUCUCCCCUUUCUGCAUAUCCUGCUACCUAUGUGCAACCAUUUCCAACCAGAGGUUAGAAUUUAUAAAGCAACCAAUGAAAUGUUAGCUUUAGGAAUAUUUCUGGGUUAGUGCAAGUCCCUGAACAGUAAGCAAAUUAGCAUGCAUGGAACCCGGCCAGAAGUUGGUGUAUUUGUGGGUGGCUUGCCUUUCACUAACCCUUUCUAAUAAAGGCAAAAAUACAACUCUAAAAACUUUGUGUGGUGCCCUACUGUACAAGGCUGAGUAAAAACAAGAAAGUAGCUGUAUUAAGUUCUAAUCCACCAUAGCAUAGUACCUAAAUUAACUUUAGAGUUUAGUCAAUUUCUCAAUAGGUCAAAAAGCAAAAGAUGCCAUGUCAAACAUCUCCCAAAUGCAUUUUAUACAUUUUUAUUUUAUAAUUUGGUCUCCUAAAAAUGUUUGUUAGCUUAACUUAGUGGGUAGAACUACACUCAUAACAUAUCUAAAAGCAACAAACAUUUCCUCGGCAGUGCUAUUGUUUGCAAUAGUUGGGGAAGUUUUGGGUUUGUUUUUAAAGGUUGAAAUUUCCGUGUACAAUUUAAUGCUUGCAAAGUUAAUAACCCCAAUGCGUUUUCCAGAGUCAGUAGUUUCAAAUAACUUAUUGUCUCUAUGUAUAAUAAAAUCUUAGCUCUCUAAGUCAUGUGAGCCAUUAUUUUUUUCCCACAAAAGGUGAUUUCUCCUUUAAGUGUAGAUCUGUGUUGUGAUUUAUGAUCCAGAAUUGUGUUCUUUUGUGGAUUCUGAAGUAAAUGAUUUUCUUGUGUUUGGGAAAGUCUCAAUUGUUCCAGCAGUAUUGUACAGAUGAGCUCAUGGCGUUUAACCCAUUGUGGUUUUAUUUCAACUGUUCAUCACUUACCAUGAAAUGGACCUGCCUUUGGAAUACAGUAAAUGGUUGCAGUUUUCUAAUCUUUUUCUUCCUUGGAUCUGGAGAAAGAAUUUCCUUGAUCUGCACAGUUGAUCUCUGCAAAGUGGUUAGUCGGGGAAGCAGAAAUGCAUGCUGACAGGUGAGAGGCGUUACCAAGCCUCGCUGGAUCUAAACUGAACCCACUCCAGAGUAUCGCACAGGAAAUCUUCUCGAAUGUCAAGAAUUCACCUCAUAUCAACAAAAGCCUUGGAAACACGAGUUUUUCACUGGGUAUUACCUAAUGCUAAAAGGAAAGCCAAAACAAUAUCAGAAUGACAUUUUAUGCUCUAAAUUUAUAGCUGUCUACUGUGCUUAGUGUGUCUGUCAUUAGUGCUGUAUUCUCCUAGCUAUUAUAGAAAAUUGUUGAAAUAAAGAUAAGGAUAUAAAGAAA